rnacentral:misc_RNA from 1 species
GAAAUGCGAUAAGUAAUGUGAAUUGCAGAAUUCAGUGAAUCAUCGAGUCUUUGAACGCACAUUGCGCCCCAUGGUAUUCCGUGGGGCAUGCCCGUCUCAGCGUCAGCGAAACCCAUCGAGCCGGGCCCUUUCGUGGGCCCCGGUUUGGAUGUCGUCAGGGAGGCAGUUGCGGCCAUUGUCGCCUGCCCCUUGGAAAACCAUUGAACGGUCAGGCUGUAGUAGCCGCCUGUUGUUGCCAGACGCGAUAAGCAAGUCACCUCGUCCGGCCGACCAUCAGGUUUGACGGACCGUCAGCCCACAAAUAUCUUUAGACUUGACCUGAGAUCGGGUAGGAGUACCCGCUGAACUUAA